rnacentral:lncRNA from 1 species
GUAAUACAACAGCAGCACUGGCACAAGGUUGGUGGUGAUGGGAUCUCUCAUUGUGGGUGCACCUUUUGCUUCCAGAGGACGUAGUGGUCAGCUCUGCUGCAGACCCAGUGCUUGUGUAGGUGGCACAGGGAUGAGCUGAUCCUGUCCCCGUUCAGGUAUGCACAUCGGCCUCCACCUCUCAGCUCAAACCUGUGCCCAAGAGGGAGGAGAAUGGGAAAGGUGCCCCAAUCUGCUGAGAAAAGCUGGGUCUGCCUCUUCUGGGGAAGGAAGGGCAGAAAGGGCUCAUGGUGGAGCACCAAGCCUGAGCCUGGCGGGCCACGGUAAACCACGGCUGUGGCACCAGGAGAAGGUCCCCAUCCCAAAGAGAGCCCGUGGGAAGUCAUGGCCUGGACAGCUGGACAGACAAACUGACCAGUUGGUGAAGGCUGUGCCAUCGCUCCAUGUCCCUUCCUCAGAGCUUUGGGCUCAUGUCCCCAUCUCACCAUCUCCUCCGCACUGCCUAUGGUGACCAGGGAAGCUCCGUGGGCAUUGCAGUGCUCCCUGCUGCUGUUCCAAUCAUUCUCCUCCUUCGAAAAAUAAUAGCAUUUCCCCUGGAAUCCGACCCAGGCGUUGUGAAUAGUGUGGAUAUUAUUACGGGCUGGGAAGGAUGUUGUAAGGCUGCUGUGUUACGAUAAGAGAGCCACAGCAGAAGAAAAGCAGAGAUAACAAGCAUGAGAGAAGCCAAGGCGUGCACACAGGGUGGGGUGUUCUCACUGUGUGGGAGGGAACGGAUGG